AGAGUUUGAUUCUGGCUCAGAAUGAACGCCGGCGGCGUGUUUUAGGCAUGCAAGUCGAACGUGAAAGUCCCUUCGGGGGCAAGUAAAGUGGCGGACUGGUGAGUAUCGCGUGGGUAAUCUACCUUAUAGUUGGGGAUAAUAUCGCGAAAGUGGUGCUAAUACCGAAUGUGGUUUAGCGGUCUCCGGACUGCUUAACUAAAGGUGGCGUAAGCUGCCGCUAUAAGAUGAGCCUGCGUCCUAUUAGCUUGUUGGUAGGGUAAUAGCCUACCAAGGCGAUGAUGGGUAGCCGACCUGAGAGGGUGACCGGCCACAUUGGGACUGAGAUACGGCCCAGACUCCUACGGGAGGCAGCAGCCAAGAAUAUUCCGCAAUGGGCGAAAGCCUGACGGAGCGACGCCGCGUGGACGAUGAAGGCUUUCGGGUUGUAAAGUCCUUUCGAGCGGGAAUAUUUUUCGUGCGGUUAAUACCCGCAUGGAUUGACUGUACCGCUGGAAGAAGCCCCGGCUAAUUACGUGCCAGCAGCCGCGGUAAUACGUAUGGGGCGAGCGUUAUUCGGAUUUAUUGGGCGUAAAGCGUAUGUAGGUGGUUCGUUAAGUUGAGGGUGAAAUUUUCAGGCUUAACCUGAAAACUGCUCUCAAGACUGGCGGACUAGAGCUCGGGAGAGGAGAAUGGAAUUCCAGGUGUAGGGGUGAAAUCUGUAGAUAUCUGGAAGAACACCAGUGGCGAAGGCGAUUCUCUGGCCCGAAACUGACACUGAGAUACGAAAGCUAGGGGAGCGAACGGGAUUAGAUACCCCGGUAGUCCUAGCCGUAAACGUUGAUCACUCGGUGCUGGAAGUAUGGACUUUCAGUGCCUAAGCUAACGCGUUAAGUGAUUCGCCUGGGGAGUACGCCGGCAACGGUGAAACUCAAAGAAAUUGACGGGGGCCCGCACAAGCGGUGGAGCAUGUGGCUCAAUUCGAUAUACGCGAGGAACCUUACCAGGGUUUGACAUGCUGGCAGUAGAAGUCUGAAAAGAUAACGACCGGUAUCCAGUCCGGAACCAGCACAGGUGCUGCAUGGUUGUCGUCAGCUCGUGUCGUGAGAUGUUGGGUUAAGUCCCGUAACGAGCGCAACCCCUAUCCUCAGUUGCCAGCAAGGCGCAAGCUGUUGGGCACUCUGAAGAGACUGCCGGUAAAAAGCCGGAGGAAGGUGGGGAUGACGUCAAAUCCUCAUGGCCUUUAUAUCCUGGGCUGCACACGUGCUACAAUGGCCAGUACAAAGGGUUGCCAUACCGCAAGGUUUAGCUAAUCCCAUAAAGCUGGUCCCAGUUCGGAUCGUAGUCUGCAACUCGACUACGUGAAGUCGGAAUCGCUAGUAAUCGCGCAUCAGAACGGCGCGGUGAAUACGUUCCCGGGCCUUGUACACACCGCCCGUCAUAUCAUCCGAGUUGGAUGCACUUGAAUUUACUGAGCUAACCGUAAGGGGGCAGGUAAUGAAAGUGUAUUUGGUAAGGAGGAUAAAGUCGUAACAAGGUA
rnacentral:rRNA from 1 species